rnacentral:rRNA from 3 species
CAUCUCCGGGGGUAGAGCACUGUUUCGGCUAGGGGGCCAUCCCGGCUUACCAACCCGAUGCAAACUGCGAAUACCGGAGAAUGUUAUCACGGGAGACACACGGCGGGUGCUAACGUCCGUCGUGAAGAGGGAAACAACCCAGACCGCCAGCUAAGGUCCCAAAGUCAUGGUUAAGUGGGAAACGAUGUGGGAAGGCCCAGACAGCCAGGAUGUUGGCUUAGAAGCAGCCAUCAUUUAAAGAAAGCGUAAUAGCUCACUGGUCGAGUCGGCCUGCGCGGAAGAUGUAACGGGGCUAAACCAUGCACCGAAGCUGCGGCAGCGACACUGUGUGUUGUUGGGUAGGGGAGCGUUCUGUAAGCCUGUGAAGGUGUGUCGUGAGGCAUGCUGGAGGUAUCAGAAGUGCGAAUGCUGACAUAAGUAACGAUAAAGCGGGUGAAAAGCCCGCUCGCCGGAAGACCAAGGGUUCCUGUCCAACGUUAAUCGGGGCAGGGUGAGUCGACCCCUAAGGCGAGGCCGAAAGGCGUAGUCGAUGGGAAACGGGUUAAUAUUCCCGUACUUGGUGUUACUGCGAAGGGGGGACGGAGAAGGCUAUGUUGGCCGGG